GCUGAGAACGGCUACCACAUCCANGGAAGGCAGCAGGCGCGCAAAUUACCCACUCCCGGCACGGGGAGGUAGUAGACGAAAAAUAACGAUACGGGACUCAUCCGAGGCCCCGNNAUCGGNAUGAGUACACUUUAAAUCCUUUAACGAGUACCAAUUGGAGGGCAAGUCUGGUGCCAGCAGCCGCGGUAAUNNCAGCUCCAAUAGCGUAUAUUAAAGUUGUUGCGGUUAAAAAGCUCGCAGUUGGAUCUGUGUUCCACGCUGUCGGNUCGCCGUCGUCGGUUGUUAACUGNCAUGUCCUGNGGAACGUCCUGCCNNCGGCGGUACGGGCUCUCGGUUCCUGUGUAGAGACCAAAAUCUCGAAGCAGACCGAACAGUUCCGGCCGCCGGUUCAUAUCCCGCCACGGUGCUCUUAAACGAGUGUCGAGGUGGGCCGGCACGUUUACUUUGAACAAAUUAGAGUGCUUAAAGCAGGCUGGUGUCCGCCUGAAUACUGUGUGCAUGGAAUAAUGGAAUAGGACCUCGGUUCUAUUUUGUUGGUUUUCGGAACCCGAGGUAAUGAUUAAUAGGGACAGGCGGGGGCAUUCGUAUUGCGGCGUUAGACUUGGCAAAUGCUUUCGCGGUGAAAUUCUUGGAUCGUCGCAAGACGAACCUAAGCGAAAGCAUUUGCCAAGUAUGUCCUCGUUAAUCAAGAACGAAAGUUAGAGGUUCGAAGCGAUCAGAAANCGCCCUAGNUCNNNCCAUAAGCAAUGCCAGCCAGCGAUCCACCGAAGUUCNUCCGAUNNCNNGNCGGGCAGCNUCCGGGAAACCAAAGCUUNUNGGUUCCGGGGUCAAGUAUGGUUGCAGAGCUCAGCUUAAAGGAAUUGACGGAAGGGCACCACCAGGAGUGGAGCCUGCGGCUUAAUUUGACUCAACACGGGAAACCUCACCAGGCCCGGACACCGGAAGGAUUGACAGAUUGAGAGCUCUUUCUUGAUUCGGUGGGUGGUGGUGCAUGGCCGUUCUUAGUUGGUGGAGCGAUUUGUCUGGUUAAUUCCGAUAACGAACGAGACUCUAGCCUGCUAACUAGGCGAUUUCCGGUACCCUCUUUAGUGUUACCGGCGAUUCAAUUUCUUCUUAGAGGGACAGGCGGCUCCUAGCCGCACGAGACUGAGCAAUAACAGGUCUGUGAUGCCCUUAGAUGUCCUGGGCAGCACGCGCGCUACACUGAAGGAAUCAGCGUGUCCUCCCUGGCCGACAGGCCCGGGUAACCCGUUGAACCUCCUUCGUGCUAGGGAUUGGGGCUUGCAAUUGUUCCCCAUGAACGAGGAAUUCCCAGUAAGCGCGAGUCAUAAGCUCGCGUUGAUUACGUCCCUGCCCUUUGUACACACCGCCCGUCGCUACUACCGAUUGAAUGAUUUAGUGAGGUCUUCGGACUGGUGCGCGGCGGUCGGUUUCGCCGGCCGCCGAUGUUGCCGGAAAGAUGACCAAACUUGAUCAUUUAGAGGAAGUAAAAGUCGUAACAAGGUUUCC
rnacentral:rRNA from 1 species